rnacentral:rRNA from 1 species
GACAGAGGUGCCAAGCGUUAGGCGGAAUCACUGGGCUUAAAGCGUGUGUAGGCGGACUUGUAAGUACCUUGUGAAAUCCCACAGCUCAACUGUGGAACUGCCUCGGAUACUGGGUGCCUCGAGGGUGGUAGGGGUAUGCGGAACUAUCGGUGGAGCGGUGAAAUGCGUUGAUAUCGAUAGGAACUCCGGUGGCGAAGGCGGCAUACUGGACCACAUCUGACGCUGAGGCGCGAAAGCCAGGGGAGCGAACGGG